AGGCCCAUUGCUCAGAGGUACAGAAUUUGGUUUUGCAUGCCAAAGGUCCCUGGUUCAAUCCCGGGCAUCCCUA